rnacentral:misc_RNA from 1 species
CAAAUAAGGCUGGGGCUUUUCCUGUUGCAAGUAUUAAUAAAUCACCAUCAUAAAAGAAUUGCUGAAAUUGGCUCUCAGAAUUCUCAAUUAAUUUGCAAGGGUCAACAUAAUUUACAUAGUGUCCACCAAGUGUGUGCAUUUACAGACACACUGAACAGACACUUGAUUUUGAAGAUAAGAAUUUAUGAAAGGACAGUAUGCCGCAAGGAAUAUCACAACCAUCAAAUAAGCAUCACAACUGUGAGGUCUCUAAAUAUUUCACCUCGUACUCCAAACCAGAUGAAG